rnacentral:rRNA from 1 species
GACGAACGCUGGCGGCGUGCUUAACACAUGCAAGUCGAACGGAAAGGCUCCAGCUUGCUGGAGUACUCGAGUGGCGAACGGGUGUGUAACACGUGUGUGAUCUGCCCCGCACUUCGGGAUAUGCCUGGGAAACUGGGUCUAAUACCGGAUAGGACCGCACUUUGGUGUGUGUGCUGGAAAGGAUUUUCUGGUGUGGGUUGAGCUGGCGGGGUAUCAGUUUGUUGGUGGGGUAAUGGCCUACCAAGACGGCGACGGGUAGCCGGCCUGAGGGGGUGGGCGGGGGCAUUGGGACUGAGGUACGGCCCAGGCACCUACGGGAGGGAGCAGUGGGGAAUAUUGACCAAUGGGGGCAACCCGGGUGAGGCGGGGCCGCGUAGGGGAUGAAGGGCUUAGGGGUGUAGAAUCCUUUCGCUAGGGACGAUGCUUUUUGUGACGGUACCUGGAGAAAAAGCACCGGCUAACUACGUG